rnacentral:lncRNA from 1 species
CAGCCCUCAAAGGAGGAUUUUGUGUAGUAAAUUCUAAUUUAUGAAAAAGUCUGGGUUCUUUACAAUGAACAUGAGGAAAAUAAUUCAAACAAAAUGGUCUUUUCUGGUCACUCCUUUCUCUUUCUCUUUGCCUGUUCCCCAGGUUCACUCUAUCCUUUUUUCUCCCUAUCUGUUCCUGUUAGUCCACCUGAGCACCUCCUUUGCUUAGAAAAAAAUAUCCUCUUCUCUUCUCACCACCUUUGUAAGUGAAUGGAAAAUGGGAAGCUGAUAACAGCACAUUGCUGGAAGUAUCUGAACAGGCCCAAACAACCCUCUGAGAAAGCAGCUUAGUGAUACAAUCAAGAACCAUAAAAUGUCCCUGCCCUCUGACCCAAUACUUCCACUCCAGGAAAUUAUUCAAAAUAUGGGAAAAGCCACAUGUCUGAAGAUUUUCAAUGCAUUGUUAUUUAUUAUAGCAAAAACAAAAGAAAAACUACUUAAAUAUCCAAAAAUAGCCAAAUGUUUAAGUAAAUUAUGGUCAAUUCACGUGAUGGAGAAGAACACACACACACACACACAAGUGCCAGAGCAUGUACAGGCACAGGGACAACGUAAACAUCCAGUGAUAGAUGUUUACAUAAACUUGAGAUUAGUUCAUUAAAUUGGUGAAGCCACUAGAAAUAAUUGUAUAUGUCUAUACUGAUUGACAUGGAAAUAUUUGUCUGUGAUGUAUAAUUAAGUGAAAAGACAGGGUAUAAAAUAACCUGCUAAAACUUCUUAAACUUAAAAGUGUGGGGAUAGGCGUGGGUAUGGAGUAACAUCCUUAUAAUCUCCAUGACUCCAGAGGUUAAGGCAGGAGGAUCGAAAGUCUGAGGACAGCCUGGACUGGGCAAUUUAACUAGACUGUCUCAAAAUACAAAAAAGGCUAGGCAUGUAGGUCAGUAAAGUGCCCCUGGGUUCAUCCCUAGUACCACCACCAAAAAAAAAGGCUGGGGCUGGGGAUAUGAGGAGAGCACUUGCCUAGAAUGUUUGGGGCCCUGGGUUCAAUCCCCAGUUCUGGGAGCAGGGGAGGCUAAAUGUGCUUAUUUGCUUAGAACAAUUCUGGAAGAACACUUGUGCUCAAAGUGAUUGAGUUAAAAGAUUUGCGUAUUCUUUUGUAUACUGAUUCUGAAUGAAACUUUAUAAAAAGAACAUGAACAUUUAAAAAGAAGGCUAUUUCUAGUUCAUUGAUCAAAAUUCAUUAUGAAAACAAUGUAGUAAAAAUGCCAGUGAUGCAUAGUUUAAAAAUGCAAAAUAUGAACUAUCACAUUUACUAUGAUUAACAUUUAAAAACAAGAUGUAUGA